CUCCUUGUAAAGUGCGCGAUUUUUUGCUCUUGGGAAUUUAAGCUUCUUCUUAAAUAGUUUCUUCAGUGCAUAAAAUUUACUCAUGUCAAUCAUUUAUGCACUCGUGGGAACCAACAGAGUGCUGAGGCAUUCAGAUUCUAACAAUUAAAUUGUUAUUGGUGAUUUCAAUAGUUUUCGUUUUUUGGGGGGACACCCUGUAUAAUAGGGUGUUGUUAUUGAACCUACUGUACUUACUAGCACAAUGGACAACUUGCAUGUUAGACUAAAUUUUAAUCUAAGUAAAAAGAAGGGAAUCAAACACCACAGUUAAAAAGAACAUAAUCAAAUUAGUAAAAUUGCAAAAUUUGGUUGUGAAAUGUUACAAAAUACAGAAAAUAUAGCCUUACGAAGUUUGCAUAUUUUCAGUAUAUAAUGUAUAUUUGUGUUACGUGCGGAAAUUAUUGUUACCAUUUUCGGCUCAAAAAUAUGGUAACAAUUUCCGCACGUAAUACAAACAUAUACUGAAAAUAUGCAAACUUCGCAAGGCUAUAUUUUCCGUAUUUUACAACAUUUCGUUACCAAAUUUUGCAAUUUUACUAAUUUUAAUAAGUUUUUUACGGGAAUUUACCUUUUUUCCUAGAUCAAAAAUUAGUCUAACGUGCAAGUUGUCUAUUGAUGUUCGAAUAGCGCUAUUGUCUUUCUUUCCGUGUUAUUGAUAUACUAAUCGUUCUAAUGCGCUUCUCUUUUGUUUAAUUAAAUUACUUGGAAUGAAAGUUGGAAAUGCUGUAUAGACUAUUCUGAACUGACAUUACAACCCGCACGAAAAAAAUCACAGCGUGAACCGCACUAAUAUAGUGCGGAUCACGCUGUGAUUUUAGGCCUCGCCAACACUUUGCCUGCAACUGCAGAACACCAUAGACUGUCAUCAAUCAAGGAAAACUGAUGUGAGGGAGAAGUUGAAUAUUAUUUUUAAUGCCUAACGCGAUGAUAUUUGAUUACAAGCUUGUUCACAAGGGGGCCAAAUAUUAUAAAAUUGAUUCAAC